rnacentral:rRNA from 1 species
UACGAAGGGGGCUAGCGUUGCUCGGAAUCACUGGGCGUAAAGGGCGCGUAGGCGGCUCAUGAAGGCUGUGGUGAAAGUCCGGGGCUCAACCUCGGAUCGGCCGUGGCGACUCGUGGGCUGGAGCACUGUAGAGGCGGGUGGAAUUCCGGGUGUAGCGGUGGAAUGCGUAGAGAUCCGGAAGAACACCAGUGGCGAAGGCGGCCCGCUGGGCAGUGGCUGACACUGAGGCGCGACAGCGUGGGGAGCAAACAGG